AUUGAACGCUGGCGGCAGGCCUAACACAUGCAAGUCGAACGAGUGGCGGACGGGUGCGUAAUGUCUGGGCAACUGCCUGUUGGCGGGGGAUAACUACCGGUAACGGUAGCUAAUACUGCAUACCAUCAGAUGUGCCCAGAUGGGAUUAGCUAGUUGGUGGGGUAACGGCGCACUAACGCGACGAUCCCUAGCUGGUCUGAGAGGAUGACCAGCCACACUGGAACUGAGACACGGUCCAGACACCUACGGGAGGCAGCGUUGGGGGAUAUUGCACAAUGGGAGCAAGCCUGAUGCAGCCAUGGCGCGUGUAUGAAGAAGGCCUUCGGGUUGUAGAGUACUUUCAGCGGGGAGGCGUUACGCGCAGAAGAAGCACCGGCUAACGCCGUGCGGGCAGCCGCGGUAGUAC
rnacentral:rRNA from 1 species